UGUUCAGAAUGGUACUUCCUAGGUUUUCCUUUAGAGUUUUUAUAGGUUUAGGUCUUACAUUUAAAUCUCUAAUUCAUUUUACAUUGAUAUUUGUGUGGUGAAAGGAAGGGAUUCAGUUUUAAUCUGCAUAUGGCUAUAGCCAGUUAUCUCAGUGCCCUUUGUUGAACAGGGAGUCCUUUUCCCAUUGCAUGUUACUGUCAGCUUUGUCAAAGAUCAGAUUGUUAUAAGUGUGAUGCUUUAUUUCUGUGUUCUCUUUAGUUGCAUUUGCUUUUGGGGUCUUAGUCAUGAAUUCUUUGCCUACAGCAAUGUCCAGAAGAGUUUUUCCUAGGUUGUCUUCCAUAAUUUUUAUCAUUUCACAUCUUAAAGUCUUUGGCCAUUUUGAGUUGAUUUUUAUAUAAGGUGAGAGAUAGGCUCUGCCUUCAUAAAUGGAUUAAUGCCAUUAUCACAGGAGAGGGGUCCUUAUAAAAGGGGGUGUUUGGCUUGCUUUAAAAAUCAAAUGAGAAUACACAAAGUCAUUAACAUUUACAUUGAAACCUACUGCUUGUGCACACUCCAGUUUUCUCUUUCAUGAGAGUCUGAAUUUUUGAAAAUUAAAUUUAAAAUCUGAUU
rnacentral:lncRNA from 1 species